rnacentral:lncRNA from 1 species
AAGUCUGGGGCCAUUCCGAGUCCGGCGGACGAACUUCGCCCACGCCCCCCACCAAGGCUAUAGCCCACCCGUUUUUUGGCCAUUUUUCCGCUGGGGGGUUUUGGCACCACGACCUUCGCGCGCUUAUUUCUGGGCGCGGCUUUGCCCGCGGCUUAUUUUUGGCACCCCGAGGCCCCUCGCAAAGUCUCGCCCCAUUCCGAGUCCGGCGGACGAACUUCGCCCGCGCCCCCCACCAAGGCUAUAGCCCACCCGUUUUUUGGCCAUUUUUCCGCUGGGGGGUUUUGGCACCACGACCUUCGCGCGCUUAUUUCUGGGCGCGGCUUUGCCCGCGGCUUAUUUUUGGCACCCCGAGGCCCCUCGCAAAGUCUCGCCGCAUUCCGAGUCCGGCGGACGAACGUCGCCCGCGCCCCCCACCAAGUCUAUAGCCCACCCGUUUUUUGGCCAUUUUUCCGCUCGGGGGUUUUGGCACCACGACCUUCGGGCGCUUAUUUUUGGGCGCGGCUUUGCCCGCGGCUUAUUUUUGGCACCCCGAGGCCCCUCGCAAAGUCUCGCCCCAUUCCGAGUCCGGCGGACGAACUUCGCCCGCGCCCCCCACCAAGGCUAUAGCCCACCCGUUUUUUGGCCAUUUUUCCGCUGGGGGGUCUUGGCGCCCCGACCUUCGGGGGCUGAUUUUUGGGCGCGGGUGUGCCCGUGGCCUAUUUUUGGCACACGGAGGCCGCCCGCAAAGUCUGGGGCCAUUCCGAGUCCGGCGGACGAACUUCGCCCACGCCCCCCACCAAGGCUAUAGCCCACCCGUUUUUUGGCCAUUUUUCCGCUGGGGGGUCUUGGCGCCCCGACCUUCGGGGGCUGAAUUUUGGGCGCGGGUGUGCCCGUGGCCUAUUUUUGGCACACGGAGGCCGCCCGCAAAGUCUGGGGCCAUUCCGAGUCCGGCGGACGAACUUCGCCCACGCCCCCCACCAAGGCUAUAGCCCACCCGUUUUUUGGCCAUUUUUCCGCUGGGGGGUCUUGGCGCCCCGACCUUCGGGGGCUGAAUUUUGGGCGCGGGUGUGCCCGUGGCCUAUUUUUGGCACACGGAGGCCGCCCGCAAAGUCUGGGGCCAUUCCGAGUCCGGCGGACGAACUUCGCCCACGCCCCCCACCAAGGCUAUAGCCCACCCGUUUUUUGGCCAUUUUUCCGCUGGGGGGUCUUGGCGCCCCGACCUUCGGGGGCUGAAUUUUGGGCGCGGGUGUGCCCGUGGCCUAUUUUUGGCACACGGAGGCCGCCCGCAAAGUCUGGGGCCAUUCCGAGUCCGGCGGACGAACUUCGCCCACGCCCCCCACCAAGGCUAUAGCCCACCCGUUUUUUGGCCAUUUUUCCGCUGGGGGGUCUUGGCGCCCCGACCUUCGGGGGCUGAUUUUUGGGCGCGGGUGUGCCCGUGGCCUAUUUUUGGCACACGGAGGCCGCCCGCAAAGUCUGGGGCCAUUCCGAGUCCGGCGGACGAACUUCGCCCACGCCCCCCACCAAGGCUAUAGCCCACCCGUUUUUUGGCCAUUUUUCCGCUGGGGGGUCUUGGCGCCCCGACCUUCGGGGACUGAUUUUUGGGCGCGGCUGUGCCCGUGGCCUAUUUUUGGCACACGGAGGCCGCCCGCAAAGUCUGGGGCCAUUCCGAGUCCGGCGGACGAACUUCGCCCACGCCCCCCACCAAGGCU